AUUCUAGUAGCUUAAUUCACAAAGCACUGGUCUUGUAAACCAGAGACUGAAAACCACAACUUUCCUAGAAUA
rnacentral:tRNA from 1 species